rnacentral:pre_miRNA from 18 species
GACCGCCAGCGAUAAUUCAUUUUCGCUGGCGGUCGUCUUAAGCCAUCCGCCAGCGAAAAUGAAUUAUCACUGGUGGGU